rnacentral:rRNA from 1 species
CAACUUGAGAGUUUGAUCCUGGCUCAGAACGAACGCUGGCGGCAGGCUUAACACAUGCAAGUCGAGCGCCCCGCAAGGGGAGCGGCAGACGGGUGAGUAACACGUGGGAAUCUACCCAUCCCUGCGGAACAACUCCGGGAAACUGGAGCUAA